GACUAAAUAAUAAUUGGUAAGUAACCAAAAUUCUAAUAAAAUAAAAAACCAAAAUCCUGACUAAGUAAGAACUCGCCAACAAGCAUGAAACUAGACGCUACCAUUCACCAUGCUUUUGAAUUAUCAGAUAAGAAACGUAUAAGAAAAUCUGGCUUUUGAGCUUCACUUUUAUAUGGACAUCAACCCUUUAUGCAAAAGUCGACCUCAGUGGUCCAUAUAGACAUGUAGACCCACCCCCUCAGACCAGAUUCAUAAGUCAUCACUGAAAGCAGCUCCAUUCUUAGGAUUUUGGGACCUUCGACAAACCCUUAAAAUGGACCCCUCCAUACAAUUAUAUGCAUACAAGAAAAAAGUUUAUUAGGUUGAUAAAAUCGGAAAUUUAAAAAAGAAAAAAAGAAAAAAAAAGGAUAUGGAUAUAUCUCUGAGAAAUCUCAUUUUAAUUAGUAUAGGGUAAUAAAAAC
rnacentral:lncRNA from 1 species